rnacentral:rRNA from 1 species
GAUGAACGCUGGCGGCGUGCCUAACACAUGCAAGUCGAACGGAGUAAUUAUUAUGAAGUUUUCGGAUGGAUUAAUAAUUACUUAGUGGCGGACGGGUGAGUAACGCGUGGGUAACCUGCCUCAUACAGGGGGAUAACAGCUGGAAACGGCUGCUAAAACCGCAUAACAUUGCGACGUCGCAUGGCGAUGCAAUUAAAUAUUUAUAGGUAUGAGAUGGGCCCGCGUCUGAUUAGCUAGUUGGUGAGGUAAUGGCUCACCAAGGCGACGAUCAGUAGCCGGCUUGAGAGAGUGACCGGCCACAUUGGGACUGAGACACGGCCCAAACUCCUACGGGAGGCAGCAGUGGGGAAUAUUGCACAAUGGGGGAAACCCUGAUGCAGCGACGCCGCGUGAGUGAAGAAGUAUUUCGGUAUGUAAAGCUCUAUCAGCAGGGAAGAAAAUGACGGUACCUGACUAAGAAGCCCCGGCUAACUACGUGCCAGCCGCCGCCGUAA